GUGUGAUGAUCAGAGCAAACCGCUCUGAAAUUCACAAAUUCCAGCUGUUCUGUCUGUUCCCUGAUCCCAUUUGCUACACCUGAGUCCCCCCCUGCUGCGACCUCGGCCAGCAGAUGCUGUGCUGAGUGUCCUUUCUGCGUUCACUGUUGUCACUCACAACAGUAUAACACUUCCUGGAUCUGAGCGUUAUAAGGAGACAUUUUCCAACACUCCUUGAUAUCUCAUUCACUUCAGCUUGUUUUCCUUCCGACUUCCCUGCACCCACCGACAAGACUGUUUCUGGUGGAGUAAUAAUUACUCCGCACUCAGUUCACACUCCACAGGCUCCAGAAUGUUCCAUCUCCUGGAUGGAGCAUCAUCGUUUUAUCUUAGGACUUCCUGUAUUUCCUGUAAAUUGUGUUUUUAUUGUGAAAACAGAUUUCCAUGUCACAUGUCUGAUGUAGUCCUGCUGCUAUGCUUGUAUGAUGUGCAUUUUACUUCUUUGGGUCUCCAUGGUAUGAAUAUGCUGUUUCACACACACCUUCUCGGGGUUCUGGCUGUCCCACAGGUGUUGUGUAGGUUUGUGGUCACUGUUCUUGCCUGUCUCAUCCUUUCAGGUAACUGGUGUGGUAUUUCUUACUUAGCCUUCCUUAUUCCUUAUGCACGUGUGGCCUCUAAUUUAACUAUUGCUCUAUUCCUGCAGGCAUCACUCUGGCCUCCAUAAGAGGGAGAGAUCAGCUCCAUGGUCUAAGUUUCUAGGUGGUAUAAUCACUGUUAUGGUACUGGUCGUAAUGCUUUUCACAUGGAUCAGUUGGCUAUUGAACUUGAGAAUCUCUCUGUACCAGUUUCAUCUGGUUUUGAGUCCCUGACCCCUGAGCUUAAGGCUCUAUGUGUUGUACCUGGAGAAUGGGAUGGCUCUGGAUUCCUCCUGGCUGACCUGGGUGGAGCCUGUCAGGUAAUAGGUUCUGAGUGUUGUAUUUGUUUUCCUGAUGCUUCUAACUACAUUUCAGCUAUUGUACAUUAUUUACGGGACCUCAUACAGAUGAUGACUUGUACUUAUGAUGAUACUGGUUUACUGGUUUUAACAUUGAUAAUAAUGAUUUCUGAACCUCAGUGUAACGUUAUGGUGUGUCAGUGUAUAUUUUCUAAACUUUUGCUUUUACUACAACCUAGGGGUGUCUAUCCUCAUGUGUCAAUUUAGA